UCAGCCAAAACGAGGCACGGCAAACAGCUCAGUAACACGUGGCUAAUCUGCCCUUAGGACGCGAACAACCCCGGGAAACUGGGGCUAAUUCUCGAUAGGUGAAGAACUCUGGAAUGAGUCUUUGCCUAAAAGAGCUUACGUUAUGCUCGUAAGUUUCGCCUAAGGAUGAGGCCGCGACCGAUCAGGUUGUUGGUGAGGUAAUGGCUCACCAAGCCUUUUACCGGUGCGGGCCGUGAGAGCGGGAGCCCGGAGAUGGGCACUGAGACAAGGGCCCAGGCCCUACGGGGCGCAGCAGUCGCGAAAACUUUGCAAUACACGAAAGUGUGACAGGGCUAUCCCGAGUGCCAUCCGCUGAGGAAGGCUUUUACCCAGUCUAGAACGCUGGGGGAAUAAGGAGAGGGCAAGUCUGGUGUCAGCCGCCGCGGUAAUACCAGCUCUCCGAGUGGUGUGGAUGUUUAUUGGGCCUAAAGCAUCCGUAGCUGGCUAGGUAAGUCCCCUGUUAAAUCCACCGAAUUAAUCGUUGGAUCGCGGGGGAUACUGCUUGGCUAGGGGACGAGAGAGGCAGACGGUAUUUUUGGGGUAGGGGGUGAAAUCCUAUAAUCCCAGGAAGACCACCAGUGGCGAAGGCUGUCUGCUAGAACGCGCCCGACGGUGAGGGAUGAAAGCUGGGGGAGCGAACCGGAUUAGAUACCCGGGUAGUCCCAGCUGUAAACGAUGCAGACUAGGUGUUUGGACGGCCACGUGCCGUUCUAGUGCCGCAGGGAAGCUGUUAAGUCUGCCGCCUGGGGAGUACGAUCGCAAGAUUGAAACUUAA
rnacentral:rRNA from 1 species